rnacentral:rRNA from 1 species
UACGUAGGGAGCAAGCGUUGUCCGGAAUCAUUGGGCGUAAAGCGCGCGUAGGUGGCCUCAUAAGUCCGUUGUGAAAGUCAAAGGCUCAACCUUUGAAAGCCGAUGGAUACUGUGAGACUAGAGUACGGAAGAGGCGAGUGGAAUUCCUGGUGUAGCGGUGGAAUGCGCAGAUAUCAGGAGGAACACCAAUAGCGAAGGCAGCUCGCUGGGACGUUACUGACGCUGAGACGCGAAAGCGUGGGGAGCAAACAGG